rnacentral:rRNA from 1 species
CGGGGUGAGUAAUGCUUGGGAAUCUAGCUUAUGGAGGGGGAUAACUACGGGAAACUGUAGCUAAUACCGCGUAGUAUCGGAAGAUGAAAGUGUGGGGCCUUCGGGCCACAUGCCAUAGGAUGAGCCCAAGUGGGAUUAGGUAGUUGGUGAGGUAAAGGCUCACCAAGCCGACGAUCUCUAGCUGGUCUGAGAGGAUGACCAGCCACACUGGGACUGAGACACGGCCCAG